GGAUGAAGGAAGCAUGGUAGUGUGCACGGAAAUUAAAUUAAGGUCCGCAUGUCUGCACUCUUUGAUGCUUCGGCUAUUGAUUAGAGGGCCUGGUUACGACCUAAAUUU